GACAGAGGAGCCAAGCGUUGUCCGGAUUGACUGGGCGUAAAGCGCACGCAGGCGGAUGCGCGCGUGGGGUGUGAAAUCUGGCCGCUUAACGGCCAGGCGCCAUCCCAUACGGCGCGUCUGGAGUGAUGCAGAGGUCGAUGGAAUUGCCGGUGUAGUGGUGAAGUGCGUAGAGAUCGGCAGGAACACCCAGGGGGAAACCAGUCGACUGGGCAUCUACUGACGCUGAGGUGCGAGAGCGUGGGGAGCGAACCGG
rnacentral:rRNA from 1 species